CAGCGUUGCUUAUAAUUUAUAACCUUUGUUGAAAGACUUAAUCAUUUUAUAUAAGUUGUUUGGAAGAAUAUUGUUGAUUGAAAGCACUCUAUAGCGCUAUACAGGGCAGCCUAGGCUGAAGCUGUAUAUGGUUUGUUGACAUCUCUAACUAAUUGAGAUGUUUGUGGACUGAAGUUCCACCAAGGGUGGCUGUGUACUGCAAGAUGCAUUUUUAACUAAUACGGUCAUGCAAAGCUACAUUUCUCUACUGUUGGUCUACAUAAUCAAAAAUCUACUAUUGAUUGAAUUAUAUAUUGGUUUGAUUUUUUAAAAAUUUUGAUAGCACUAUUACAUUCGUC
rnacentral:lncRNA from 1 species